GUGGGGAAUCUUAGACAAUGGGCGCAAGCCUGAUCUAGCCAUGCCGCGUGAGCGAUGAAGGCCUUAGGGUUGUAAAGCUCUUUCAGUGGGGAAGAUAAUGACUGUACCCACAGAAGAAGCCCCGGCUAACUCCGUGCCAGCAGCCGCGGUAAUACGGAGGGGGCUAGCGUUGUUCGGAAUUACUGGGCGUAAAGCGCACGUAGGCGGACUGGAAAGUCAGGGGUGAAAUCCCGGGGCUCAACCCCGGAACUGCCUUUGAAACUCCCAGUCUUGAGGUCGAGAGAGGUGAGUGGAAUUCCGAGUGUAGAGGUGAAAUUCGUAGAUAUUCGGAGGAACACCAGUGGCGAAGGCGGCUCACUGGCUCGAUACUGACGCUGAGGUGCGAAAGCGUGGGGAGCAAACAGGAUUAGAAACCCCUGUAGUCC
rnacentral:rRNA from 1 species